rnacentral:rRNA from 1 species
CAGUGAGGAAUCUUGCGCAAUGGGGGAAACCCUGACGCAGCAACGCCGCGUGAGUGAGGAAGGUCUUCGGAUCGUAAAGCUCUGUCAGUUGGGAAGAAAUACCUGAGGGUUAAUACCUUUCAGGCUUGACGGUACCAACAGAGGAAGCACCGGCUAACUCCGUGCCAGCAGCCGCGGUAAUACGGGGGGUGCAAGCGUUGUUCGGAAUUAUUGGGCGUAAAGAGCGUGUAGGCGGCCUGAUGUGUCAGAUGUGAAAGCCCUGGGCUUAACCCAGGAAGUGCAUUUGAAACUGUCAGGCUUGAGUAGGGGAGAGGGAAGUGGAAUUCCUGGUGUAGAGGUGAAAUUCGUAGAUAUCAGGAGGAACACCGGUGGCGAAGGCGACUUCCUGGCCCUAUACUGACGCUGAGACGCGAGAGCGUGGGUAGCAAACAGGAUUAGA